rnacentral:rRNA from 1 species
UAGGGAAUCUUCCACAAUGAGCGCAAGCCUGAUGGAGCAACACCGCGUGAGUGAAGAAGGGUUUCGGCUCGUAAAGCUCUGUUGUUAAAGAAGAACACGUAUGAGAGUAACUGUUCAUACGUUGACGGUUAUUUAACCAGAAAGUCACGGCUAACUACGUGUCAG